UCACAGUUCCUUUUGUGUUGUCAUACUGAAAUUAUGCAGUGAGAUGCAUGCAAUGCUAUUUUGUGUUGCUGUUGAGAAUUCUUAACCCACCAUUGUAUUUGGGGACAUCCAAAUCAAAUCACAGGAUUACAUGAUGCAGGUCCGUUGUGCACUGUUGUCUCUGCAAUGGACAAAGGAACAGGCACUCCACACCCAAUGGCAAGAAUACUAAGGACAUCAUCUUGAUGACUGAUUUGAAAGAAUGCCUUCACUUGGAAAUAAGUCACCAUCCAGAAUGGAAGUCAGCCAACAUUCAGAAAUGUAGAAUAAAGUGAAACAUUCUAACCUUAUGACGGAAUUUUUUUUCUGAAACUAUCCUGAUUCAAAGUGUUUUACCCUGUCAUCUCCAUAAACCACUGUCUUAGAAAAGCAUCUCUGUUAAGAAUGCUGUCUUUGGACUCGGUUAGACUGAGAUUUGAUUACAGCUUCGCCACCUACUAUGCUGUGCAACAUUAA